UACGGAGGGGGCUAGCGUUGUUCGGAAUUACUGGGCGUAAAGCGCACGUAGGCGGCUUUGUAAGUUAGAGGUGAAAGCCCGGGGCUCAACUCCGGAAUUGCCUUUAAGACUGCAUCGCUAGAAUUGUGGAGAGGUAAGUGGAAUUCCGAGUGUAGAGGUGAAAUUCGUAGAUAUUCGGAAGAACACCAGUGGCGAAGGACGACUUACUGGACACAUAUUGACGCUGAGGUGCGAAAGCGUGGGGAGCAAACAG
rnacentral:rRNA from 1 species